GGUAGUGGUAGCUCAGUGGUUAAGGCGUUGGACCUUUGCUGGUAAGGUCAUGAGUUCGAAUCCCAGCAUCACCA